GACAGAGGGUGCAAACGUUGCUCGGAAUCACUGGGCGUAAAGGGCGUGUAGGCGGGAAGGCAAGUCAGAUGUGAAAUCCCUGGGCUCAACCCAGGAGCUGCAUUUGAAACUCCCUUUCUUGAGUGUCGGAGAGGAAAGCGGAAUUCCUGGUGUAGAGGUGAAAUUCGUAGAUAUCAGGAGGAACACCGGUGGCGAAGGCGGCUUUCUGGACGAUAACUGACGCUGAGACGCGAAAGCGUGGGGAGCAAACAGG
rnacentral:rRNA from 1 species